CUUCACACUGCAUCCCAUACUGUCACCUUCCUACACAGUGCCCCUCUAUACUGUCACCUUCCUACACACUGCCUCCCCCCCACCUUCCAGCCCACGGGUAAGAGGAAGUGAAGGGGGAGGAUAAGCCCAAUUAAAUUUAAACGGCUCACCCCCAGCACUUAUCCAACAUUACACGCACUACACAGACACUACGACAUACACAACAUCCACUAGACACACUGCAUACACCACACAAACACUAGAUACACUACACACACACAAUGUAUUCAAUACACACACUGCAUACGAUACACACUAUAUCCAUGACAUGGAAGAAAGGGGAAGAAAAGAUAUGGAUGGCAGGUGGGGGGACAGAAAAGACAUGGGUUCUUCAAUCCAUAGUGUAGAUGCGAGCUCAGUGGACAGUGCGGCUACAUCUAAUGUGUGACACAUUACCUACCUGGCUGAAACUGCAGUUUGCAGAGGGAUUAAGGGAGAGUGAGUGUGUGUGAGUCUUUGGAAAAUAUAUACACCUGUUCCAAAUCAGUAUGCAAAUUAUAUUUUUCUCAUUUACCUAAAUAAUUGAUGUCAGCAUAAUUCUCAUGUUAUCAACUAUUAAGAGUACAAUUUAUUGAACAAACCUCCUAAUGAUAACAGUAUUGUUUUAAACAUAAAAAACUUACAAUGCACUGUUCCAAAUUAUUACGCACAGUAAAUUUCAAAACACUUUAUA